GGGUGAGUAACACGUGGGCAAUCUGCCCUGCACUCUGGGACAAGCCCUGGAAACGGGGUCUAAUACCGGAUAACACCCCCUCUCGCAUGGGAGGGGGUUGAAAGCUCCGGCGGUGCAGGAUGAGCCCGCGGCCUAUCAGCUUGUUGGUGAGGUAGAAGCUCACCAAGGCGACGACGGGUAGCCGGCCUGAGAGGGCGACCGGCCACACUGGGACUGAGACACGGCCCAGACUCCUACGGGAGGCAGCAGUGGGGAAUAUUGCACAAUGGGCGAAAGCCUGAUGCAGCGACGCCGCGUGAGGGAUGACGGCCUUCGGGUUGUAAACCUCUUUCAGCAGGGAAGAAGCGAAAGUGACGGUACCUGCAGAAGAAGCGCCGGCUAACUACGUGCCAGCAGCCGCGGUAAUACGUAGGGCGCAAGCGUUGUCCGGAAUUAUUGGGCGUAAAGAGCUCGUAGGCGGCUUGUCACGUCGGUUGUGAAAGCCCGGGGCUUAACCCCGGGUCUGCAGUCGAUACGGGCAGGCUAGAGUGUGGUAGG
rnacentral:rRNA from 1 species